rnacentral:rRNA from 1 species
CUAUUAGAUGAGCCUAUAUUAGAUUAGCUAGUUGGUGGAGUAAUAGCCUACCAAGGCAAUGAUCUAUAGCUGAUCUGAGAGGAUGAUCAGCCACACUGGAACUGAGAUACGGUCCAGACUCCUACGGGAGGCAGCAGUGGGGAAUAUUGGACAAUGGGCGAAAGCCUGAUCCAGCCAUGCCGCAUGAGUGAAGAAGGCCUUUGGGUUGUAAAGCUCUUUUAGUGAGGAAGAUAAUGACGGUACUCACAGAAGAAGUCCUGGCUAACUCCGUGCCAGCAGCCGCGGUAAUACGGAGAGGGCUAGCGUUAUUCGGAAUUAUUGGGCGUAAAGGGCGCGUAGGCUGAUUAAUAAGUUAAAAGUGAAAUCCCGAGGCUUAACCUUGGAAUUGCUUUUAAAACUAUUAAUCUAGAGAUUGAAAGAGGAUAGAGGAAUUCCUGAUGUAGAGGUAAAAUUCGUAAAUAUUAGGAGGAACACCAGUGGCGAAGGCGUCUAUCUGGUUCAAAUCUGACGCUGAAGCGCGAAGGCGUGGGGAGCAAACAGGAUUAGAUACCCUGGUAGUCCACGCUGUAAACGAUGAAUGUUAAAUAUGGGAAGUUUACUUU